UACGUAGGGGGCAAGCGUUGUCCGGAAUCAUUGGGCGUAAAGCGCGUGUAGGCGGUUCGGUAAGUCGGCUGUGAAAGUCCAGGGCUCAACCCUGGGAUGCCGGUCGAUACUGCCGGACUAGAGUUCGGAAGAGGCGAGUGGAAUUCCCGGUGUAGCGGUGGAAUGCGCAGAUAUCAGGAAGAACACCAACGGCGAAGGCAGCUCGCUGGGACGGUACUGACGCUGAGACGCGAAAGCGUGGGGAGCGAACAGG
rnacentral:rRNA from 1 species